rnacentral:rRNA from 1 species
GACGAACGCUGGCGGCGUGCCUAACACAUGCAAGUCGAGCGAGAAAGCCCCUUCGGGGGUGAGUACAGCGGCGAACGGGUGAGUAACACGUGGGCAACCUGCCCCAAGGAGCGGGACAACCCGGGAACCGGAGCUAAUACCGCAUGAUCCGCCACGGCUCAAGCCGUGUCGGCAAAUGGUCGCUUCGGCCUCCGACCUUGGGAUGGGCCCGCGGCGCAGUUAGCUUGUUGGUGGGGUAACGGCUCACCAAGGCGACGAUGCGUAG